GCGCAGCAGGCGAGAAUACUUUACAAUGUGCGAAAGCACGAUAAGGGAACUCUGAGUGCCUCCUAAGGAGGCUGUUCAGGUGUCUAAAAGCACCUGAAGGAAGGGCUGGGUAAGACCGGUGCCAGCCGCCGCGGUAACACCGGCAGCCCAAGUGGUAGCCACGUUUAUUGGGUCUAAAGCGUCCGUAGCCGGCUGGGUAAGUUCCUUGGGAAAUUUGGCUGCUUAACAGUCGAGCUUUCAGGGAAUACUGCCCGGCUUGGGACCGGGAGAGGUCAGAGGUACUCCAGGGGUAGGGGUGAAAUCCAUUAAAUCCUUGGGGGACCACCGGUAGCGAAGGCGUCUGACCAGACCGGGUCCGACGGUGAGGGACGAAGGCUAGGGGCGCGAACCGGAUUAGAUACCCCUGUAGU
rnacentral:rRNA from 1 species